GGUAGCCGGACUGAGAGGGGGACCGGGCACACUGGGGACUGAGACACGGCCAGACUCCUAGGGAGGCAGCAGUGGGGAAUAUUGGACAAUGAGCGGAAGCCUGAUCCAGCAACGCCGCGUGAGGGAUGACGGCCUUCGGGUUGUAAACCUCUUUCAGUAGCGACGAAACGGAAGUGACGGUAGGUACAGAAGAAGCACCGGAAAACUACGUGCCAACAGCCGGGGUAAUACGUAGGGUGCGAGAGUUGUCCGGAAUUAUUGAGAGUAAAGGGCUCGGAGGCGGGUUGUCGCGUCGGGAGUGAAAACACCAGGCUUAAGUCGGAGGUUGCUUUCGAUACGGGCAGACUAGAGGAAUGCAGGGGAGAACGGAAUUCCUGGGGUAGCGGUGAAAUGCGCAGAUAUCAGGAGGAACACCGGUGGCAAAGGCGGUUCUCUGGGCAUGUCCUGACGGUGAGGAGCAAGAGUGUGGGGAGCGAACAGGAUUAGAUACCCUGGUAGGCCACACCGCAAACGUUGGGAGCUAGGUGUGGGGCCUAUUCCAUGGGUGCCGUGCCACAGCUAACACAUUAAACGACCCGCCUGGGGAGUACGGCCGCAAGGAUGAAACUCAAAAGAAUUGACGGGGGCCCGCACAAGCGGCGGAGCAUGCGGAUUAAUUCGAUGCAACGCGAAGAAGCUUACCUGGGUUUGACAUACACCGGAAAGCGCCAGAGAUGGUGCCCCUUUUUGUCGGUGUACAGGUGGUGCAUGGCUGUCGUCAGCUCGCGUCGUGAGAUGUGGAGGUAAGUCCCGCAACGAGCGCAACCCUCGUCCUAUGUCGCCAGCGGGUAAAUGGCGGGGGACUCAUAGGAGACUGCCGGGGGUAAACUCAGAGGAAGGCGGAGAUGACGUCAAGUCAUCAUGCGCCGUUAUGUACAGGGAUUCACGCAUGCUACAUGGCCAGUACAAAGGGAUGCGAUCCCGUGAGGAGGUAGCGAUCGCAAAAAGCCGUCUCAGUUCGGAAUGGGGUCAUGCACUCGAACGCCAUGCAGUCCGGAGUUCGCUUAGUAAUCGCUGAAUCGUAUGCACUAGUGCAUUGCCGAGGUCGCCCUGGCCACGGU
rnacentral:rRNA from 1 species